ACCUACGGGGGGCAGCAGUAGGGAAUUUUCGUCAAUGGGCGCAAGCCUGAACGAGCAAUGCCGCGUGAACGAGGAAGGUCUUCGGAUCGUAGAGUUCUGUUGAAGGGGAAAAAGAGCGGAGAGAGGAAAUGGUCUCCGAUUGAUAUUACCCUUCGAGGAAGUCACGGCUAACUACGUGCCAGCAGCCGCGGUAAUACGUAGGUGGCGAGCGUUAUCCGGAAUGAUUGGGCGUAAAGGGUGCGUAGGCGGCCUGCUAAGUCUGGAGUGAAAGGUACCGGCUCAACCGGUACAGGCUCUGGAAACUG
rnacentral:rRNA from 1 species